rnacentral:rRNA from 1 species
CCUACGGGAGGCAGCAGUGGGGAAUAUUGGACAAUGGGGGCAACCCUGAUCCAGCCAUGCCGCGUGUGUGAAGAAGGCCCUCGGGUUGUAAAGCACUUUCAGUGAGGAAGAACGCCUGGUGGUUAAUACCCAUCAGGAAAGACAUCACUCACAGAAGAAGCACCGGCUAACUCCGUGCCAGCAGCCGCGGUAAUACGGAGGGUGCGAGCGUUGAUCGGAAUUACUGGGCAUAAAGCGCGCGUAGGUGGCUUGAUAAGCCGGUUGUGAAAGCCCCGGGCUCAACCUGGGAACGGCAUCCGGAACUGUCAAGCUAGAGUGCAGGAGAGGAAGGUAGAAUUCCCGGUGUAGCGGUGAAAUGCGUAGAGAUCGGGAGGAAUACCAGUGGCGAAGGCGGCCUUCUGGACUGACACUGACACUGAGGUGCGAAAGCGUGGGUAGCAAACAGGAUUAGAUACCCGUGUAGUC